rnacentral:sRNA from 1 species
AAGAGCAGAUGGCGGAUGCCUUGCCAAAGAGAGGCGAUGAAGGACGUACUAGACUGCGAUAAGCUAUGCGGAGCUGUCAAGGAGCUUUGAUGCGUAGAUGUCCGAAUGGGGCAACCCAACUAAUAGAGAUAUUAGUUACUCUAAUUCAGAGAGCGA